CUUCAAUUGUCUUCUUCAUUUUCUUGUGGGUGCCGAAUACACCAUAACCACAAACACCAAGCUUUAUUCUUUGAUUUUCUCUCAAAACUUUCUUCACGAAAAUUGUCGGGAAUAUUGCGUAGAUCGUGUAGGUGUAUUUGCAUGUUGAAUCAAGAUCCAGCGAGUUUUGUCGCGGAAACCGGCGAGCAAAGGUUUUGAAUAUUCGACGGGUGGUAUUUUUAUAUUUGGAAUAAGCGAGUACUGCGAGUAGUUUGACGUGUGGAUUUCCAAUUUCUUGUUCCGGAAAUCCCUGGAUUGAAUAAGUGAGAAUGACUUUCCUUUAUGUGUCUAGAGUUGCAGUAGCUAGAAUAAUGAACGGUGAUACCUUAGUAGUCGUUGGACUUAUUUAUGCUUUAUAUUUUAUAACGCUAAACUCUGAUAAUGUGUAAUAUGUGAAUGCUGUGCGAAAGUCCGGGCGACUGCACUUGAAUAAAAUGCGGCGAACGCAUCUGCAUAGUGAAAUGCAGUUAAGUCCAU